GAGUUGCGAACGGGUGAGUAACGCGUAGGUAACCUGCCUGGUAGCGGGGGAUAACUAUUGGAAACGAUAGCUAAUACCGCAUAAUAGCAGUUGUUGCAUGACAGCUGUUUAAAAGGUGCAAUUGCACCACUACCAGAUGGACCUGCGUUGUAUUAGCUAGUUGGUGGGGUAACGGCUCACCAAGGCGACGAUACAUAGCCGGCCUGAGAGGGUGAACGGCCACAAGGGGACUGAGACACGGCCCUUACUCC
rnacentral:rRNA from 1 species